UGAUUUUUCCAGAGAAUGCUUUUUGUUUUUUAUCUGCGAAAUAGCUGCCUCUCCUAUAAAAAGAAGUGGUAUUUUAGGAGAAAUCAUACAGACGAUCUUCACACCAUCAACGAAAAGCGACACCCAAAUGAUUGAAGCCAAAGAAAGGGGAUCAACUUUCUACUCUGAAGAAGCAUUUACAGACUCUUGUUUUCAGCAUUAUCCAUGCAAAUAUUACAACAAUAGUGUAUUGAGAAGUUUCAUCAAGAGAAUGGAAUGAUACAAUAUGUUAACGAUUGGAGCGUAACCUCAUAUUUUAUAAAUAAAAAAUUAUAUUUUACCUU